UCCCUGGAACGGGACGCCAUAAAGGGUGAGAGCCCCGUCUGGUCGGACACCGAGCCUCUGUAAAGCUCCUUCGACGAGUCGAGUAGUUUGGGAAUGCUGCUCAAAAUGGGAGGUAUAUGUCUUCUAAAGCUAAAUAUUGGCCAGAGACCGAUAGCGCACAAGUAGAGUGAUCGAAAGAUGAAAAGCACUUUGAAAAGAGGGUUAAAAAGUACGUGAAAUUGUUGAAAGGGAAGCGCCUAUGACCAGACUUGGGCCCGGUGAAUCACCCAGCGUUCUCGCUGGUGCACUUCGCCGGGCACAGGCCAGCAUCAGUUUGGCGCGGGGGAGAAAGGCUUCGGGAAUGUGGCUCCCCCGGGAGUGUUAUAGCCCGUUGCGCAAUACCCUGCGCUGGACUGAGGUACGCGCAUUCGCAAGGAUGCUGGCGUAAUGGUCAUCAGCGACCCGUCUUGAAACACGGACCAAGGAGUCGUCUUCGUAUGCGAGUGUUCGGGUGUCAAACCCCUACGCGUAAUGAAAGUGAACGCAGGUGAGAGCUUCGGCGCAUCAUCGACCGAUCCUGAUGUUCUCGGAUGGAUUUGAGUAAGAGCAUACGGGGCCGGACCCGAAAGAA
rnacentral:rRNA from 1 species